UACAUAGGGUGCAAGCGUUGUCCGGAAUUAUUGGGCGUAAAGAGCUCGUAGGUCGUUUGCCGCGUCGAUUGUGAAAAUCUGAGGCUCAACCUCAGACCUGCAGUCGAUACGGGCAAACUAGAGUGUGGUAGGGGAGACUGGAAUUCCUGGUGUAGCGGUGGAAUGCGCAGAUAUCAGGAGGAACACCAAUGGCGAAGGCAGGUCUCUGGGCCAUAACUGACACUGAGGAGCGAAAGCGCGGGGAGCGAACAGG
rnacentral:rRNA from 1 species